rnacentral:misc_RNA from 1 species
GAUGAAGAACGUAGCGAAAUGCGAUAAGUAAUGUGAAUUGCAGAAUUCAGUGAAUCAUCGAAUCUUUGAACGCACAUUGCGCCCUCUGGUAUUCCGGGGGGCAUGCCUGUUCGAGCGUCAUUACAACCCUCAAGCUCAGCUUGGUGUUGGGCCCCGCCGCCCCGGCGGGCCCUAAAGUCAGUGGCGGUGCCGUCCGGCUCCGAGCGUAGUAAUUCUUCUCGCUCUGGAGGUCCGGUCGUGUGCUCGCCAGCAACCCCCAAUUUUUUUCAGGUUGACCUCGGAUCAGGUAGGGAUACCCGCUGAACUUAAGCAUAUCAAUAAGCGGAGGA